rnacentral:miRNA from 1 species
CAGGAUGCCCAGUUAAAUUUGAAUUCUAGGCAAACAAAACAUAAUUUUUGAUACAAGCUAUAUCUCAUGCAAUAUUUGGUACAUACUUAUACUAAAUCAAUUGUUUCUGUUUAUCUGAGUUUAAAUUUAACUGAGCAUU